rnacentral:rRNA from 1 species
GUCAGCGACCAUACCACAUUGAAAGCACCAGUUCUCGUCCGAUCACCGCAGUUAAGCAACGUUGGGACCGGUCAGUACUUGGAUGGGUGGCUGGCUGGGAAUACCGGGUGUCGCUGGCU